GGAGGUGUUAGCUUAUCCAUAGCCAUUUGACACACAAUUGGUUUAUAGAUAGAGCACUAAAAGUUGUGUUUAGAGGUCCAACUUGCAUUUCAUAUAGAGUUAUACAUGCACAGAUAGAGUUAAAAUAAGAAUGACCACUAAUAGUAUUUUAAUAUCUUGAAGCUAUAAUAACUGAAUCAUUGAAAGCUCAAAUAAGAAAACAGAUAUAUCUUAAAAUAAAGCAUCUAAUGCGAUAAGCAGGUCGGAAUCAAGUUGCUAUCGGGAGGUGCUUAAGGGUUUCCCGACGUGCUAGCUUGAGGUGCUUACUAAAACCGACGUGCUUGCUUAAAUGAAAUGAACUUCUAAAUGUUAAAAAU
rnacentral:lncRNA from 1 species